CCUACGGGUGGCAGCAGUGAGGAAUAUUGGUCAAUGGGAGAGAUCCUGAACCAGCCAAGCCGCGUGAGGGAAGACGGCCCUAUGGGUUGUAAACCUCUUUUGUCGGAGAACAAAACCCGGGACGAGUCCCGGACUGCGUGUAUCCGAAGAAAAAGCAUCGGCAAACUCCGUGCCAGAAGCCGCGGUAAUAGGGCGGAUGCGAGGGUUAUCCGGUUUGAUUGGGUUAAAAGGGUGCGUAGGCGGUCUGUUAAGUCAGUGGUAAAAUUGCGGGGCUCAAACCCGUCGAGCCGUUGAAACUGGCAGACUUGAGUUGGCGAGAAGUACGCGGAAUGCGCGGUGUAGCGGUGAAAUGCAUAGAGAUCGCGCAGAACUCCGAUUGCGAAGGCAGCGUACCGGCGCCAGACUGACGCUGAGGCACGAAAGCGUGGGGAUCGAACAGGAUUAGAUACCCGGGUAGUC
rnacentral:rRNA from 1 species